UAAACCAGGACUAAACCAGGACUAAACCAGGUCUAAACCAGGACUGAACCAGGACUAAAUCAGGUCUAAACCAGGACUAAACCAGGACUAAACCAGGACUAAACCAGGACUAAACAAAGACUAAACCAGGACUAAACCAGGUCUAAAUCAGGACUAAACCAGGACUAAACCAGGUCUAAACCAGGACUAAACCAGGACUAAACCAGGUCUAAACCAGGACUAAACCAGGACUAAACCAGGUCUAAACCAGGACUAAAUCAGGACUAAACCAGGACUAAACCAGGACUAAAUCAGGACUAAACCAGGACUAAACCAGGUCUAAACCAGGACUAAAUCAGGACUAAACCAGGUCUAAACCAGGUCUAAACCAGGACUAAACCAGGACUAAACCAGGUCUAAACCAGGACUAAAUCAGGACUAAACCAGGACUAACCAGGUCUAAACCAGGACUAAACCAGGUCUAAACCAGGACUAAACCAGGACUAAACCAGG
ensembl:lncRNA